AAUAGAUACCCCGGUAGUCCACGCCGUAAACGAUGUCGACUUGGAGGUUGUUCCCUUGAGGAGUGGCUUCCGGAGCUAACGCGUUAAAGUCGACCGCCUGGGGAGUACGGCCGCAAGGUUAAAACUCAAAAUGAAUUGACGGGGGGCCCGCACAAGCGGUGGAGCAUGUGGUGUAAUUCGAUGCAACGCGAAGAACCUUACCUACUCUUGACAUCCAGAGAACUUAGCAGAGAUGCUUUGGUGCCUUCGGGAACUCUGAGACAGGUGCUGCAUGGCUGUCGUCAGCUCGUGUUGUGAAAUGUUGGGUUAAGUCCCGCAACGAGCGCAACCCUUAUCCUUUGUUGCCAGCGGGUUCGGCCGGGAACUCAAAGGAGACUGCCAGUGAUAAACUGGAGGAAGGUGGGGAUGACGUCAAGUCAUCAUGGCCCUUACGAGUAGGGCUACACACGUGCUACAAUGGCGUAUACAAAGAGAAGCGACCUCGCGAGAGCAAGCGGACCUCAUAAAGUCGUACGUAGUCCGGAUUGGAGUCUGCAACUCG
rnacentral:rRNA from 1 species